rnacentral:rRNA from 1 species
UCCGUAGGUGGAUCAAUCAGUCAGAGGUGAAAUCCUGCAGCUUAACUGUAGAACUGCCUUUGAUACUGUUGAUCUUGAGUCAUUAUGAAGUGGUUAGAAUGUGUAGUGUAGCGGUGAAAUGCAUAGAUAUUACACAGAAUACCGAUUGCGAAGGCAGAUCACUAAUAAUGUACUGACACUGAGGGACGAAAGCGUGGGGAGCGAACAGGAUUAGAUACCCUGGUAGUCC